rnacentral:rRNA from 1 species
AACCUUUACACUGCACGACAGUGCGAUAGGGGGACUCCGAGUGCGAGGGCAUAUAGUCCUCGCUUUUCUGUACCGUAAGGUGGUACAGGAACAAGUGCUGGGCAAGACCGGUGCCAGCCGCCGCGGUAAUACCGGCAGCACGAGUGAUGGCCGAUAUUAUUGGGCCUAAAGCGUCCGUAGCCGGCCGGACAAGUCCGUUGGGAAAUCGACGCGCUCAACGCGUCGGCGUCCAGCGGAAACUGUCCGGCUUGGGGCCGGAAGACCCGAGGGGUACGUCCGGGGUAGGAGUGAAAUCCUGUAAUCCUGGACGGACCACCAAUGGGGAAACCACCUCAGGAAGACGGACCCGACGGUGAGGGACGAAAGCUAGGGUCUCGAACCGGAUUAGAUACCCGGGUAGUCCUAGCUGUAAACGAUGCUCGCUAGGUGUGGCGCAGGCUACGAGCCUGCGCUGUGCCGUAGGGAAGCCGUGAAGCGAACCGCCUGGGAAGUACGUCUGCAAGGAUGAAACUUAA